CUACGGGUGGCAGCAGUGGGGAAUAUUGCACAAUGGGCGCAAGCCUGAUGCAGCCAUGCCGCGUGUAUGAAGAAGGCCUUCGGGUUGUAAAGUACUUUCAGCGGGGAGGAAGGGAGUAAAGUUAAUACCUUUGCUCAUUGACGUUACCCGCAGAAGAAGCACCGGCUAACUCCGUGCCAGCAGCCGCGGUAAUACGGAGGGUGCAAGCGUUAAUCGGAAUUACUGGGCGUAAAGCGCACGCAGGCGGUUUGUUAAGUCAGAUGUGAAAUCCCCGGGCUCAACCUGGGAACUGCAUCUGGAUACUGGCAAGCUUGAGUCUCGUAGAGGGGGGUAGAAUUCCAGGUGUAGCGGUGAAAUGCGUAGAGAUCUGGAGGAAUACCGGUGGCGAAGGCGGCCCCCUGGACGAAGACUGACACUCAGGUGCGAAAGCGUGGGGAGCAAACAGGAUUAGAUACCCUAGUAGUC
rnacentral:rRNA from 1 species